CUGGGUCACCUCCCACCCGUGUUUAUUUUACCUUGUUGCUUCGGCGGGCCCGCCUUAACUGGCCGCCGGGGGGCUUACGCCCCCGGGCCCGCGCCCGCCGAAGACACCCUCGAACUCUGUCUGAAGAUUGUAGUCUGAGUGAAAAUAUAAAUUAUUUAAAACUUUCAACAACGGAUCUCUUGGUUCCGGCAUCGAUGAAGAACGCAGCGAAAUGCGAUACGUAAUGUGAAUUGCAAAUUCAGUGAAUCAUCGAGUCUUUGAACGCACAUUGCGCCCCCUGGUAUUCCGGGGGGCAUGCCUGUCCGAGCGUCAUUUCUGCCCUCAAGCACGGCUUGUGUGUUGGGCCCCGUCCUCCGAUCCCGGGGGACGGGCCCGAAAGGCAGCGGCGGCACCGCGUCCGGUCCUCGAGCGUAUGGGGCUUUGUCACCCGCUCUGUAGGCCCGGCCGGCGCUUGCCGAUCAACCCAAAUUUUUAUCCAGGUUGACCUCGGAUCAGGUAGGGAUACCCGCUGAACUUAAGCAUAUCAAUAA
rnacentral:sRNA from 1 species